rnacentral:lncRNA from 1 species
GCUUUGGAAGACACCCUGAAGUAUAAGCAAAAGAUUCUUUGCUUAAAACAUUGAAACCACCACCAUGACCACCAGCAACAACAAAACCAACAAAACCCAAGACAAACGAGUUUUGUGGCAACAACAAAAAAGCCCAGGUCAAGUAAGUAAGUUAUUUUUUAAGGAACACAAAUUAAGUGUUCGCAUUUGUCCUUUGUUUUGAAUUAUGCUGCUUGCAAAGAGAAUUGUUUGAAAGGACUAAUAAAACACCAUCAAAACCCAAG